rnacentral:tRNA from 2 species
UUCUCCUAGCUUAAGCUCAAGCAUAUCUCUGAAGAAGAUAAGAUUCUCGAGAGUAAU